rnacentral:misc_RNA from 1 species
GAUGAAGAACGUAGCGAAAUGCGAUAAGUAAUGUGAAUUGCAGAAUUCAGUGAAUCAUCGAAUCUUUGAACGCACAUUGCGCCCCUUGGUAUUCCGAGGGGCAUGCCUGUUCGAGCGUCAUUAUAACCCCUCAAGCUCAGCUUGGUGUUGGGGCCUGCUGCACUGGCAGCCCUUAAAAUCAGUGGCGGCGCCAUCUGGCUCUAAGCGUAGUAAUUCUUCUCGCUAUGGAGUCCUGGUGGAUUCUUGCCAUCAACCCCCAAUUUUUCUAUGGUUGACCUCGGAUCAGGUAGGGAUACCCGCUGAACUUAAGCAUAUCAAUAAGCGGAGGA